GUCAAUAUCUGUAUCUCUGUCAUUUAGUAACAGUGGGAAAGUAUCAAAAUUUCCAUUGUUUUUGUUGUAAACUGCCAUUGAGACGAAAAACAAGUGCCUGCAGUCUGUGAGAGUUGUGCUCAUUUAAUAAAGGAAAAGCCAGAACAGCACCAAAAAACACCAUUAUCUAAAUAUAUUACAUUGCCACUUUUCCCUUUUGGUGAGUUAUGUAUACCAGAUGUUAUAUUGGACCCAUAACAAAUACAUAACGCACUUUCAUAACACACUACUUAACUUUGCUUUCACAACAUCACUAAGACAACUCGCAAACGUUCGACGCGUAAAAGGAAACCUAUCAUACAUGUAUCACAACAUCAAAAACAAAUACUCAACAUGAAAUGGUUAUCAAUAUGUUUUCGUAAUGCUCAGCUAGUUCUCACUGAAGGAAAACCAAUUCACUCGUGCAUACAUCUGCCGCAACCUAAAAAUAAUCGCAUUGCAUACAAUGCCUAUGGAUUGUAUACAGUUGAUUUACAUGUGCAAGAUAACUACUUGUGACCACCCAGUUUUAUAGAACAAACUUUGAGCAAGGCAAAACGUGCACUGAGACUUUUGAAACCCCUGUAUAAAGACCUGUGGAAAUUUUCUUUCAAACGGUUUCAUUGAAAUAAAAAAAUGGCACAAUCAUCUGUCAACAACAAAAUAUACUCUGUGCAGGUUAAAGUGAACAGUGAAUCUAACAUGCCACACACACAAAGAAACAGACACUCCUAAGUCUGUCACACAUUCCCUUUCAACCAAUGCAUCCUGCCUCCUCCACUGAAAACAAUAAGCACAAAUAAAAAUAAGCACAAGGAAAGUAUAUACAGAGCAGCGCAUUUUUGGAAACCAUAAAUGAUGAAUGGACUGCAUUCAUAGAGAGCUUUUCAACCGGUGGCCACUCAAAGCGCUUUACAAUAUCGCCUAACAUUCACCCACACAUUCACCCACCGAUGGCGGAGUCAGCCAGACAAGGAGACAGCCAGCUCAUCGGGUGCGGUCAGGGUGAGGUGUCUUGCUCAGGGACACCUCAACGCUCAGCUAGGAGGGACUAGGGAUCGAACUGGCAACCUUCCGGUUACAAGUCAACCCACUAUGUCUGCUAAGCCAAAUGCGGCCCAUAAAGGAAGAAUAAUGUGAACAGAAUGGCACCAACCAAAGUUAUUGUCACACGUGGGCCGCGAAAGGCGGUACACCAUCUCUUCUGCGGGGAAGAAUUGACUCGGUCCUCAAAUUGAGCUGUUGAUUGGUUGAACUUUUUUGGCUGCACAACUGUUUGAUCGUCUAAUUGGUGACAUGGCUCCUGGUCAGAGUCUGCCCCGUCCUUGUUGACGGUUUCCAGAUUCUUCUUCAUGGAGCGCUGUUGGGUCUGACGUAACCGUGGUGAUACACGCUGUUCAGUGAUUAAUCCAUUGUCCUUCGGCAUAAAGUUCAGAGUUGGAUCAGAGGACUGGGAAACAUGUGUUGUUUUGGCUGCGGGCAGUCGACUCUGUGUCAUGUGGGGUUCAUUAUUUUCUUUGAUGACUAUUUGGUGAAGGUGUUGCUUGGAAUAAUCCUGUGAAUUGAGAUCUCUCUGUGAUUCAUUGAAACCAACUGUGUCUACGAUGUUAACAAGGUCACAACUAUCCUCGUCAGUCACCAAAUCUUGCAUGAUGCCUUGAGAGGAAGUUGUCUGCAAUUGGGAAUCUUCUGGCAAAUUCGUGGCGGAAAAGACAUCAGGGAUCUGUUUCUCCGCCGUGACGGCUUGCGAUGCGCCACCACUUACUCCCUUCAUGUCUCCUGAGCCACCCAUGACACCUUUCCAAUUUAACACCUCCUCUGAAACUCCUUUAUCUGACUCCUCACCAAUUCCACCUGCGACAGUGCCAAUCUCCUCACCUGGCGCUAUCAUGCACUCAAACAACACUCUAUCCUCUGCGAUUACAGCGUCUUCCAUCCCCCCCUUGAAUUCCUCUGGUGAAGGGCCAUCCGCUCGGAGCGACACCUUUCGUCGCUUCCGUUCCUCAGGUGUUUGAUCCUUCUCCGUCCGACACCCCUCCGUGAUAGCCUCUGUUUGCCCCUCUUCCGUCCCUCGCUCCCCAUCUCCGUCCCCCACGUCAACUUCCGAGGUCUCAGGUGGUGGUCGAGGAUCCCUCGGAACGCCACUCGUCGUCGCCGGCGUCUCCUGGAAAAUGUCAUCGGGUGGUGUGAUGCCACCGACCGCGCGAUUGUCCCUUUCCUCGCACUUUAGAUAUAUAUCAGCCAAUUUCUUACACUUUGAGUCUGUUGCGUUUGAGUGUCUGGGUUGGUGAUCGUCUCUUCUCGUACCAGUUUCACCUUCAAGACCUUUUAAUGAAGGCUUGUAACUCAGAACAACUCCUUGUGUUUCCGCUGAUGUGCAUUUUAUCCGUGUGCUAUCUGUGUCCAUUACUCCAACAGACUCCUGUCUCAGGGGCGAUAGUUUAAUUUCGUUUUUCUCCCUAGCUCCUUCCUCUGUUGGACUUGAGGUCGAUAGCCCCGGUUCAGUGGAGAUUAGGUCCUUGGUCAACACCUCCAUGCCUGGGUUCUCACUCUGAAUGUGUUGCUCUUUAUCUUGCGCAAUCGGGUCUAACUGGUGGUCAGGUGCUUCUGAAUACAUCAACGUGAGGUCCUUGGUUUCCUUCCCCAGAUCUGUUUCCAAUGAGUCUGGCAGGAGAGAGUUUUCAUUGUUUGGCAGUGAAUCUCUUCCUUCUUUGGAACAGUUUGAAACAGAUUGAAACAGUUUGAUUUGUAGGCCCUCCCCCUCAUCUCUUUUUGUAGCCGUGUCAACUUCAAGACCUUUUAAUGAAGGGAUGUCGCUAGAAACCUCUCCUUGUGUUUGCACUGAUGUGUAUUUUAUCAGUGUGUUAUCUGUGUCUAUUACCCCACACGAUUCCUUUUUGAGGGGCGAUAGUUUUGUGUCGUUAUUCUCUGUAGCUCCUUCCUCUGUUGGACUUGAGGUUGAUAGCCCCGGUUCAAUGGAGAUCAGGUCCUUGGUCAACACCUCCAUGCCUGGGUUCUCACCCUGAAUGCGUUGCUCUUUAUCUUGUGUAAUCGGGUCUAACCGGUGGUCAGGUGGUUGUGAAUACAACAAUGUGAGGUCCUUGGCUUCCAUCCCCAGAUCUGUUUCAAAUGAGUCUGCUUGGAGAGAGUUUUCAUUGUUUGGCGGUGAAUCUUCUUUAACCUCUUGGUUGAGAUCCACUUCAACACACUUCAGUCCCAAAGCACCGUCGUUACUUAUUCCAUGUUGUACACCGUCCACCUUCCUUUCUAUUCGGUGGAACGUGCCGUUUGUUCUGGUGUCACAGAGUGCUGACAUGUCAUGGUGUAAAGGCUUCGCAUUCACUUUGCUUUGUGUUGAUUUUAUAUCAUGCGCUCUCGACUCAUCCACCUCAAAUGCAUCUGUGCAUGGCGCUGCUUCUCCAUGAUACGUUCCUUUGGUUUUUAAUGUGUAUGAGGGGCCGGGUUUAUGAUCGUCCGUCUGAACGAGCUUGAUUUUUAGGCCUUCCCCCUCAUAUUUCUUUGUCGCCGUUUCAACUUCAAGACCAUUUAAUGAGGGCUUGUCGCUCAAAACCUCUCCUUGCAUUUGCGCUGGUGUGUAUUUUAUCUGUAUGUUAUCCGUGUCCAUCACUCGACCCAACUCCUGUUUGAGGGCUGAUAGUUUUGCGUCGCUGUUCUCUCUAGCUCCUUCCUCUGUUCGACGUGGCGUUAAUGACCCCGGUUCACUGGAGGUUGGAUCCUUGGUCAUCACCUCCUGAACUGAGUUCUUCACCUCACUCUGAACUUGUGGCUCUUUCUCUUUCGGGUCCAACCGGAGGUCAGGUGCUUCUGAAUACAUCAACGUGUGGUACUUCGCUUCCAUCAAAUCUGUUUCAAAUGAGUCUGGUAGGAGAGAGUUUCCAUUGUUUCGCGGUGAAUCUCUUCCUUCUUUGAGACACUUUGAACCAGUUUGAAAGAGUUUGAUUUCCAGGCCUUCCCCCUCAUCUCUUUUUGUAGCCGUCUCAACUUCAAGAUCUUUUAAUGAAGGGAUGUCGCUAGAAACCUCUCCUUGUGUUUGCACUGAUGUGCAUUUUAUCUGUAUGUUAUCUGUGUCCUUUACUACACACGACUCCUGUUUGAGGGGCAAUAGUUUUGCGUCGUAAUUCUUGCUAGAUCCUCCCUCUGUUGGACUUGAGGUUGAUGGCCUCAUUUCAGUGGAGAUCAGGUCCUUGGUCAACACCUCCAUGCCUGGGUUCUUGCUCUGAACGUGUGGCUCUUUAUCUUGUGCCAUCGGUUCUAACUGGCGGUCAGGUGCUUCUGAAUACAGCAACGUGAGGUCCUUGGUUUCCUUCCCCAGAUCUGUUUCCAAUGAGUCUGGUUGUAGAGAGUUUUCAUGGUUUGGCCGUGAAUCUCUUCCUUCUUUAACCUCUUGGUUAAGAUCCACUUCGACAGACUUCUGCCUCAAAACACCGUCGUUACUCGUUCCAUGUUGUACACCGUCCACCUUCCGCUCUUCUCUCUGGAACGUGUCCUCUGCUGUGGUGUCACAGAGUGCUGACAUGUCAUGGUCUGAAGGCUUCGCAUUCACGUGGCUUUGUGUUGAUUUUGUAUCACGCGCUCUCGACUCAUCCACCUCAAAUGCAUCUGUGUGUGGCGCUACUUCUCCAACAUGUGCUAUUUUGUGUUUUAAAUCGUGCGAGGGGCCGUGUUUGUAAUCUUCCAUUUGAAAUAAUUUCAUUUCUUCUCCUUUCCCCUCAUCUCUUCUCGCAGCCAGUUCACUUUCAAGACCUUUAAAUGAACGGAUGUCGCUCAGAACCACUCCUUGCGUUUGCACUGAUGUGUAUUUUAUCAGUGUGUUAUCUGUGUCUAUUACUCCAACCGACUCUUGUUUGAGGGGCGAUAGUUCUGCUUUGUUAUUCUCGCUAGAUCCUUCCUCUGUUGGACUUGAGGUUGGUAGCUCUGGUUCAAUGGAGAUCAGGUCCUUGGUCAACACCUCCAUGCCUGGGUUCUCUGCCUGAAUGCGUUGCUCUUUAUCUUGCGUAAUCGGGUUCAACCGGUGGUCAGGUGCUUCUGAAUACAUCAAUGUGAGGUCCUUGGCUUCCUUCCCCAGAUCUGCUUCCAAUGAGUCUGGUAGGAGAGGGUUUUCAUUGUUUGGCCGUGAAUCUCUUCCUUCUUUGAAACACUUUGAACCAGUUUGAACCAGUUUGAUUUCUAGGCCUUCCCCCUCAUCUCUUUUUGGAGCUUUGUCAACUUGAAGACCUUUUAACGUAGGGAUGUCGCCAGAAACCUCUCCUUGCAUUUGCACUGGUGUGUAUUUCAUCUGUAUGUUAUCUGUGUCCAUCACUCGACCCGACUCCUGUUUGAGGGCUGAUAGUUUUGCGUCGCUGUUCUCUCUAGCCCCUUCCUCUGUUGGACUUGACCUUAAUGACCCUGGUUCACCGGAGGUCGGAUCCUUGGUCAUCACCUCCUGAACUGGGUUCUCCACCUCACUCUGAACUUGUGGAUCUUUAUCUUUCUCCAUCGGGUCUAACCGGUAUUCUGGUGCUUCUGAAUACAUCAACGUGUGGUACUUCACUUCCAUCAGAUCUGCUUCCAAUGAGUCUGGUUGGAGAGAGUUUCCAUUGUUUGGCAGUGAAUCGCUUCCUUCUUUGACCUCUUGGUUGCGAUCCGCUUCAACACACUUCAGCCUCAAAGCACCGUCGUUACUCGUUCCAUGUUGUACACCGUCCACCUUUCUCCCUUUUCUCUGGAACUUGUCCUCUGCUGUGGUGUCACAGAGCGAUGACAUGUCAUUCGCAUUCAUGUGGCUUUGUGUUGAUUUUGUGUCACACGAUUCCUGUUUGAGGGGCGAGAGUUUUGCGUUGUUGUUCUCUCUAGCUCCUUCCUCUGUUGGACUUGAGGUUGAUGGCCUCAGUUCAGUGGAGAUCAGGUCCUUGGUCCACGCCUCCAUGCCUGGGUUCUCACUCUGAAUGCGUCGCUCUUUAUCUUGCGUAAUCGGUUCUAACCGGUGGUCAGGUGGUUGUGAAUACAACAAUGUGAGGUCCUUGGCUUCCAUCCCCAGAUCUGUUUCAAAUGAGUCUGCUUGGAGAGAGUUUUCAUUGUUUGGCGGUGAAUCUUCUUUAACCUCUUGGUUGAGAUCCACUUCAACACACUUAUGCCUCAAAGCACCGUCGUUACUCGUUCCAUGUUGUACACCGACCACCUUUUCCUCUUUUCGGUGGAACGUGCCGUUUGUUCUGGUGUCACAGUGUGCUGACAUGUCAUGGUCUAAAGGCUUCGCAUUCACGUGGCUUUGUGUUGAUUUUGUAUCACAGGCUCUCGACUCAUCCACCUCAAAUGCAUCCGUGUGCGGCGCUGCUUCUCCAUGCUGUGUUCCUUUGUGUUUCAAUGCCGUUCCGCUCUCUUUAUUUGGCCUGAAUCCCUCACAAUCCUUAUCACCUGCUUCCCUCUGGGAGCGUUCAGUAUUCACUGUGUCCCGUGGCCUAAAUAUCUCCUCCCCUGUAUAUCCUUUUCCUUCUGCGUCAGGCAUUGUGAGCCUCACUUCCUCCUCUCCUCCUCCACCUCCUCCUCCAUCACCUCCUCCUUCUCCACCACUACCUCCUCCUGCGCUUCCUCCUCGUCUGAAUGGGGACAACACCGAACCCGUGCGGCCCUUUGUCCCCUGUCCUUUGAAUGCCUCCCUAAAUGCCAGCGCGUCGUAUCCCGAGUUGCGUACGAUACCGCUAACCCCUUGUUCUUCCUCCCCUUCCCCACCGCUUUGAGAAAGACCCUCGCCGGGCACCGCUCCCCGUGAGAUCCUAUCACAGGCGCUGGCAUUCUGAGACACCGCCGCCACUGUCAUCUCUGUUGUCCCCCUCUCCCCAGAGCUCGUUAUCCUGUCGCCCGUAGAGUCUCUGAGCGGCUCUCUCACU
ensembl:lncRNA